GACGAACCGUACAAACGUUAUUCGGAAUCACUGGGCUUAAAGGGUGCGUAGGCGGCCAGGUAAGUUGGGUGUGAAAUCCCUCGGCUCAACCGAGGAACUGCGCCCAAAACUACUUGGCUUGAGGGAGAUAGAGGUGAGCGGAACUUAGGGUGGAGCGGUGAAAUGCGUUGAUAUCCUAAGGAACACCGGUGGCGAAAGCGGCUCACUGGAUCUCUUCUGACGCUGAGGCACGAAAGCUAGGGUAGCGAACGGG
rnacentral:rRNA from 1 species